AUUGAACGCUGGCGGCAUGCCUUACACAUGCAAGUCGAACGGCAGCACGGGUGCUUGCCCCUGGUGGCGAGUGGCGAACGGGUGAGUAAUACAUCGGAACAUGUCCUGUAGUGGGGGAUAGCCCGGCGAAAGCCGGAUUAAUACCGCAUACGAUCUACGGAUGAAAGCGGGGGACCUUCGGGCCUCGCGCUAUAGGGUUGGCCGAUGGCUGAUUAGCUAGUUGGUGGGGUAAAGGCCUACCAAGGCGACGAUCAGUAGCUGGUCUGAGAGGACGACCAGCCACACUGGGACUGAGACACGGCCCAGACUCCUACGGUAGGCAGCAGUGGGGAAUUUUGGACAAUGGGCGAAAGCCUGAUCCAGCAAUGCCGCGUGUGUGAAGAAGGCCUUCGGGUUGUAAAGCACUUUUGUCCGGAAAGAAAUCCUUGGCCCUAAUACGGUCGGGGGAUGACGGUACCGGAAGAAUAAGCACCGGCUAACUACGUG
rnacentral:rRNA from 1 species